CAGUCGCCGCGGUAAUACGAGGGGGGCAAGCGUUGUUCGGAAUUAUUGGGCGUAAAGGGUGCGUAGGCGGUUUGGCAAGUCUUGUGUGAAAUCUUCGGGCUCAACCCGAAGCCUGCACGAGAAACUGCCGGGCUUGAGUAUUGGAGAGGUGAGUGGAAUUUCCGGUGUAGCGGUGAAAUGCGUAGAUAUCGGAAGGAACACCUGUGGCGAAAGCGGCUCACUGGACAAUAACUGACGCUGAUGCACGAAAGCUAGGGGAGCAAACAGGAUUAGAUACCCGCGUAGUCCCUGUCUCUUAUAC
rnacentral:rRNA from 1 species